UUAAUAGGUUUGUAUUAAACCUACAGUGAAUUACUGUAGGUUUGGGCAUGGGGCUGCAUAAUACCAGAUUUACUUGUUCAGUGACUGUUUCAGAACACAAACUUUUGAAUUGGUUGUGGUGCUGCUUUAAGAAAAUGAGAAAAGCAGAAUUCCAGAUCCUUCAUGCAGACAACAGUGGAAGGUGAUGGUAAAAAAUAGAGUAAGAGUUAACACAGCAGUUUUUGUGCAUAAGUGGAUUUUUUAAAUGUAAAUAGAAGCAAAUAGCUUAUAAUUUUAGCAGCAGUCAUCAGCUAAAGUCUGUUGGUUUUGGGAAGUGGUAUGUUAAGGCUUAGAGUAUCUGAACAUGAAGGGUAGGAGUUGAAUUCUACUUUAGAAAAGUGAGCUUGACUCACUCUACUAUACAAAAGGCUUGGCCCCUAGUAUAUAGGCUGUGUGUGAGGUUUAAGGUGGCCAGCGAAGUGAAAACCUGUUUGGGUAUGUUAAGUAGGGUUAAGAGAACGUCUGUAGGGGCCACAUGAAGGGCACUGAAUAGGAAGUAAAGAAAAUCCAGGUAUAAACCCAAGUAAACGAAAGACAAUGACAUAAAGGCCCCUGGUAGAAUUUUUGUGGCCUUCACCUGGAUGAUUAUUGCUUUUCCUGUUUUAUAGGACUGUGAAAUUUUUUUGCCACUCUUCCAGUUCUUCUUGUUUACAGCCAUUUUUUAAAAGUGAGGAGACAAGGCCAACUUUGCUGGACUGCUGGUUGAGAGGAGGGAGAAGAUUAUUGGAACGGCAUAAAAUUGUAAGGUAGCCAAGCUAUGUUGUGCAACUUGUAGCUUCCCAUUGUAUUUAGUAUAACAUCCUUGCCCUUAAUUUAAAAGGGUUUUCAGUAUCUUUGUUGCCUCACCAGUGUUACCUUCUGUGCACCCUAGGGUGCUUUCCCAAGAUAGUAGCUAAAUCUGCCUACAUCCUGCUUUUGUUGGCUCUUAACUCACUUGAACAAAAGCCCCUUUUGAUCUAAAUCUGCAUUGGGCUUUUAGUAUAUGAGACUCAGUAUAAUGACUUGGUACUUGGGGUGCAUAGUUUAAAAAGCAUGGUUCCUGGAGUCUAGUUGCCGUUUGUUAGAGUGGUUUUUCCUGUUUGUGCUCACUUGUAAUCUGGAAGACUAAUAGUAACUUAGAGACUUGUGAGCACAGUCAAAUAGUUCCAAAAAUGGAGAGUCUUUUACAAUGGGGACAACUUAAUUUAGGGUUAGUUUUGCAAAAAUGAUUUUGAUCUCCCAAAGCAGCAAUUUUAGAGUAUUUUGGCUUGAGAGAAAAGAAAUCUAUCAAGAUUUUUCUGAAAUCUUCCUGUGUUACUAAUAUUUGGUUCCUAAAUGAUGGAGCCUAUUAAGACAAGUAAUGCCCAGUGUGGAGUAAAUGUUAGCCUUUGAGGCAAGUCGGCACUGACCAAAAUAGCUGUGAGAUUUGCUGGAUCCUGGGCCAGAAAAAGCAGUUGGCAUAAAGGUAAGGUGACAGGUGGGCAGUGAUGCAUUGGGGAAGGGCUGUGUGUUCAUUGAGUAGAGGGUGAGCUUAAAAAAUCCUUACCAGUACCUGUGGCCCUUGGUAUAGUACAUUUCAAUGACUCGUACAAUAGUAAGUAUCCUUAUAGACCAUAGAAGGUACUUAGACCAUACAAAGUUGCUCUGGUCACAGUUUGUUACGUUAAUACCCAGGAAGAAGCUAUGAGAAAGAUGGCAUUGGGUUCACACACUCAGAAAUAGAGUGUUAACAGGUGGAUUCAGUGGCUCAUUGAAUCCUAGUUCGCAGAAAGCUCAUGUCAUAUCUCAUGAUGUCCUGAGGAUCAGAGUUGAGGUUUCGGGCAGCAGGUCUCAAUCUCUCAAGAUGACUGGGGCCAGUGCAGUGACAAGUAUACAUGACAGACAUUUGUUGCUCACUUACCUACACAGCUAAGAAAUUUGUGUUUCUUGGGUGGAGAGCACUCAGGACCCAGAUGGGUUUCACCAGUGGUUACUUAAAAUGGAAACCCAGGUAUACAGAUCGCCUCAUCCCCUGUAUACUGUUUACUCAGCCCUCUAAUCACAGCUACUGUGGUUUGUCAGGUUAAGAAAAUGGUGGGAUGUUGGCCAGAGAAAAGUAUAGAGGUAAGCAGUGAUGAGAUAACAAAAGGUCUCAAGUACCAUGUUAACAAGUUUGGACUUUAGCCAGAAGGCAGUGAUAGGUCAUUGAAGGUUUCAAGCACAUAGUGACAUGAUUAGUUCUCAUUAGCAAUUAAUAUGUAAGGUGGUGUGGAUGAGAUGUGUCUUCAAGCUGGGAAAUCAGGCCAUGGCUGCUUAAGUAGUUAAUGUGAUAAUCAUGAGUGCAUAGACUAAGUUCUGGCAGUGGGGCUGGUCUCUACUGAGAAGGUCUGAAAUUUGAAUUGAGUAGCUUCCAGGCCCCUCCAUUUCUUUCUGUAUUGUAAGCUAUGUGAGGAUUCCGUCAGACCAUGUACAAAAACAGAAUUUUGUAUAAUGCAGUGGGCCUCAAAAAUAGCAGGAAGAUGGUCUUAGCUGGCAGGUUUCCAGCUAAGGCAAGAAGGUGGUUGAUGGAUUGACUGAGGAAAUGUAGAACAGAGACAGUUGCGGGUGGAGGGUGAAAUACUAAAGCUGGGUUUAUUGAGAUACCUGUGAGAGACUAGGAGGAAGUGUCAGGAGUAAUGUAAACCUGGUGGCAGAAGUGGGAAGCCCAGGCCAGAGAGUUACAUUGGAAAGUAAUGAACAGUUGUGAAAGGGAAGUGACUUUAAGGGUUAGAAUAGUGAUGAUACAGGGGGAUUGUGAGACCUGGUGGGCAUUUAGAAAUGGCAGAAGGAUGCAGUCUUGACUGAUGAACUUUAGUCACUAUCCUUGACUCAGUAAUGGUUGAAUUUAUUUGAAAAUAUGCAAACUCAAGAAGACAGUUUAGAGAUACUCAAAAGAUUUGGGGAGAUGUCCAUAGGAGUUAAGAGGAAAGAGGAGAGUGGUUCACAUGUUCAGCAUAAUAUAUAUGGUGGUGCACAUAUGUGUGCCGGGCUAUGUUAGAGAUGCAGUAGAGAUGGACAGGUGACAUCAGUGGUUGUAGAGUUAAUCCCCGGAACUAGGAUGGUUGAGUCACUCAAACCAAGAAAGGAGAUAACUUUCAGGGGGCAUUCAGUCAUAAUGUGGCUCAGGUCAAAAAUGAAGAUUUUAAAAAGAAAGGAUUUGGCAAAAUUGAGGUUCGUGGUUUCCUUCCAAAAGCCUUGUUUCAGUAGAGUAUCAAGAAUGAAGCCAGUUUUCUAGGGGUCUAGGGGAGAUCAGACAGUGAAUAGGGAGCUUACUUUAAAAAACAAAAGAUAUUCUAUGGUUCCUUUUCAUUUUUGUUGAUACAGUGUCCCUUUUCAUGAACCAAAUUUAGUCAGCUGCUAUGUGCAUGAAGCAGUUCAAUGCCCACAAGAGAGUAAGUGAAAAGACAGGAUGCUGCUCUGGCAGUUCAGCUGUGGGUACGUAGGCGUGUGUGUGUGUGUGUCAGGAUGACAGUGAACAAACAGCAAUUUUAGACAGCGGUAAGUGCCAUAAAGACAAAGAUAUAAUGAAUGUGGCAGACAAUCAGGAAGCUAAUGAUAGGGAGCCACCCCUCCAGAGACAGCAGCCAUUCAGGCAGCAAUUGUAUUCCACCUUUUUUGUGUUCUGGGUUGCAAAACAACCUGGCUGUAAUUAGCCAAAACUGUAAUACUGUAUAUUCAUGUUAAGAAAAGCACAGUAAUCCUUUAAAGAAUGAUGUUAAGAACUUUGUUUCAGAGAAAGCUUUUUCUCACAUAUGGAUUCUAUCUUUUUGUUUUUUUUCCCUCAAAACACAAGGUAGCUUGAAUCAUCAUCAUCUGGGAGAAGGAUAGGGCAGAGACUAUCAAUAACCUCGAGAACCAAGAAUGGAAUCUGAAGCAAAAGCUUUCUUGUAUAGUAAGGUAGAGAUAACGUGUUUUAAGGAAAAUAACAAUGAAAAAAUGAUAUUCAAAUAUGCAAGUCGUCUGUAGAACAGGCAUAUGUGGAUUGAGAUAAAAACAUAACUUAAAUUUUGUGUCCAUAUCUUUGUACAGUGGGAUUAUGCUCCAGUGCCCCAAGAUAAAGACUUGGUUUGAGCCAUGUAUUUUUAGGUCACUCACAUAAUAAAAUACGUUUUCCAGUCAUGAUUAAUGUAAACUUUUUAUUUCAAUAAGUAAAAGGUCGAGUCCCAUGUAAUAGUCAUAACUCAAAGGUAGUUAACCUUGACUCACUUCUUGCAGCUUGGGCUUCCUUUGGGAUGGAAGCCAACAGUGGAGAAGGGGGCAUGACCCCCUCUGAUCUCAGCUUUCUUCUUGCACAUCUCUGCAGCUUAUGAGCUGCAGUUUCACUCCUUAAGUGUGGUUAAAGGGUGGUGAGGAGGAGGAAGGAGGUGUGAGGGGAUGGGGUGGAUUCAUAAUUCCUGAACCUAGCAGAUUGAUUUUUUUCUCUGGGGCAUGUGUAUAACCUCUUUGGAGGUUCCUUGUAGAGGUCCCAUCUCAAUUCAAAGUAGACUUUUGUGACUCCUUUCUAACCCCUAGUAUCUGGCCACUUUCUCCAGAGGUUUUCUCUGCUUCAGAGGUCUCUCUUGGCAGGAUGCAAAAUUAUCUCACGCUGUUUUCUCUUUCCAGAGUGGCCCACAUGUCCACAGGAAACAUUCCCACAUCCUGGGCUUGAACAAAUUCAGAAGUGCAGAGAGGUUUCUUGGCAGCAGUCCUCUCCUGGAAAUUGACCAAAACAGUGGUAGAAAGCAUUUUGAAGCUCUCUGGUGCCUUUGAAGUCCUUCACCAGGUUGAGAACUAGAAGUCCAGCCAUGAGAAAACAUCAAAUUUCAGGAAAUAGAACUCCACAAAAUACCAGAUCAAUUCACUUCAAAACUGUCAAGGUCAUCAAAACCAGGAAUAUCUGAAAAGUCAUCACAGCUAAGAGGUGACUAAGGAGAUAUGACAACUAAAUGUAAUGUAGAGCCCUGGAUGGGAUCCUGCAACAGAAAAAGGACAUUAGGUAAAAACUAAGGAAAUUGGAAUAAAUUUUGGAUUUAGUUAAUGAUAACAUCAGCAUUGAUUCAUUAUUGUAACAAGUGUACCAUCUGAUGUCAGCUCUUGGUAACAGCAAACUGGGUGAGGAUUGUAUGAGAACCCUGUACUAUCUUCACAUUUUUCCUGUAAACCUAAAGCUGUUCUAAAAAAUAAAGUCUACUUAAAAAAAAAAUCUGGGAAGCCAGAAGAAUAAUAACUUCAGCCAAGUAAAUAAUAAAUGAAUGAGGAAACAACAUAGCAGAAGGAAAAUACAAUAAAUCCAAGGAUGAAGUUAGACUACUAGAGGGCAUGCUGUCAGCAACUACAUCUUUGUUAGAUGUAGGCUGUAAAUUUGGGAGAGCUGAAGAAAAAAACUUUGCAUGUCUGCUCAUAGCAUCCCUGAAGACAGAGGACGGCGGCACAAGAUCAGAGGUAGCAAAGCUGGGCAGCUGCAAAGGAGCCAGUCAAGAAGGGACAAUACACAUGUCUGGGUUGCCCAAACAUCAUUUUAAUUUUAUUUACCUGAGCUGUUCUUGGGAAGGUGUCACAAAAAAGGACUGAAUAGUUUGGGGGUGGGAUAAGACCUCCCCACCCCCACAGAACGCAAACUUAAGAUGAUCUAACUGCUAAGAAGGGAGGGUCUUUGUUCCCUGGGACACUGCUCCAGCAGUCCUCUUUCUGUACCUUUCCACUUAAAUGUUGGACAAAUUUUUAACCAAUAUUGUUUUAAGGGGACCAAUUUAGUAGUCUGAGUCCAUUAUUAGCCUAUUCAAGGCAUCCACAUUUUAUCAGCUGCUUACAUUACCUAAUUGAGAAAAGCUAGUCUAACAGUGACCAGAAAAGGGCAGACCAAUUCUUUCUGGUAGUCUCAAAUGAUGCAAGAAUACAAUUUGACUAUCAGCCUAUCCUUCAGGCAACCAUCCAAGAACUUUAUUUCCCUUAAUUGAUAAGAAUAGGGUAGCAAAGAGUUUGGAGUUACAGUUUUUGGUGACUGAAUAUAUUUUGUGCCGCUGAUCAUGCAUAGAUCCUCAUGCCUGAUGCUCAGCAAAUCAACUGAGAGGUGGUCAGGGUUGAUGUUUUCUUUUUAACGGUAAGUAACCCAGCUAAAACCAACCAACCACAUACAGAGAUGGGCCAAGGAAGUCCCUGUGUACGGUGCUGAGAUUUUUCCCUAGAAAACAGUAUGGGCCUAUUUCUAUACGGUAAUUGAAGCUUAAAAUUUGUUGUCAGGGUGAGUUCCAAACAUUUCAUCUUAAAAAAAUUUCAAAUCAGGAAUUAGGAGGAAUCAUCUACCCUAGUUAACUAGGGAACAAUUAUCCACAAACUAAUUUUAAUCAUUGUAACUUUCUGGGAAGCUUCUUUUAAAUUGUCUGCUCUUCUUUCUGUCCAGGUUUAUAUUGAUUCUGGAUCUUCUUAACCAUCUGUAUUCUCUGAGUGUUCUGUCCUUGAAUCCCUUAAUACUACAAACUAGUGAGAUCUCAUUUAUGCUUACUGCCCUAUUUCAUCUGCCAUUUAUUUGGUGAUGGCAGCCAAUCUGUAUCUCGAGACUGACCUUUCUUUGUAGUAAUAGACCUGUACUACCAGUAUCAUCCUGGAUGUCUGUACCUGAAUGUCUCUUAGAUGCCUUAAUGUUACAAAUAGAAUUCAUUUAUAUUGAACCCCCAUUUCCCAUCCCCCUCCAAUUCCUCCAGAAACUGAGGAGGUAAUUAAGAUUCCUUCCUUUCCCUCUCUGUCCAUAACAAUAUCACUACUUGCUAAUUCCACAUCUAAGUAGUCUUGUGUUCUUCUUUUUCAUACGUGGUGCCUGCCUCAUUAUCUCUUCACUAGAUGUUUGCCAACAAGUUACAAAAGGGCACACAGGGAAAAGUCUGCCCCUUGUAUCUGACUCUCAGUCACCCAGUUUCCAUUCCUAAAGGCACCCAUAGUUAUCAAUUUCUUUGGUAAAGAAUGUAUUUCUAAAAUGCAUCUAUUUCACAUCUUCCUGUGGCUCAUUGCUCAGUAAGAUAAUGUUCAUCUUGAGAAACAGGAUUUAAUCCUGUUUACCUCUUGUUUCUUCUAACAAGUCUCUCUGUACAUCCCAAUUUCACCUCCUAUAACUACUUUGCUUUUCCCUAAAAAAGCCUAAGGCUUCCUUUCCUCUGUGAUUUUAUGUUUUUCCCUCUACUUGGGAUGCCUGCCUCAAGUCCCUCCAUCCCCUGCUGGCACACCAUCUUUUAAUUCUGCCCCAAAUAUAUUCAAGGUCCACAGAGGACCCUUCAUCCACAGAUGAACUUACACCCUCCUCUCAUGAAGCCCCUUUAGGACCACAUAUAUGUUUUUAUUACAGCACCUGUCACACUGCUUUGCUAUAUCAAAAACAGGACUGUGUUCCUUUGGUUUUUGAGUCCUCAGUCUAGCAAACUUUAAUACCUAGCUGUUGUGUAAUAAAUACUGAAUAUUAGUUACAAUGUAACUACAACUAAGGUAAGGAAAUGUUAGGCUAGAUUAACAGCAGCCCAAUACUUAGACUUUUAAAUAUGGCUAUCAUAUUUAGAGAUCAACACCGAGGAAGGGUAAUAUCCACCUGACAGUGUAGGGUUUACUAACACUGCGAUGGCCUUAAGAAGAAAAGACCGAGAGGACAUAGAGCUCACUUAGACUCUCUGAGGGGCUAGAGGGGAAGUAACUGACAACUAAUUAUUGGGCUGCCCUCCAAGACUGGAGGUUCUCCACCAGGGUAUUGGGUCAUCCUGGUAUGUCCUCAUCAGCACUGAGAUGUAUUACAACAUUUGAACUAAUAAAAGCUUAAAUACCGAAAUUUGAAGACAGUUUACUUCCCACCUUCCACACCUAAAAACUAGAGUGGUUUCAAGGUUGCUCCCAUAAAGUCACUCCUGCCGGCUGAUAUUCCAAUAUACUUUGCUGAGAUAGCAGUAGAGUUACAGAAGAUGGAUCUGGAAACUGGAUGUAAGCCACAAUUUAUCUUAUCUUCAUUGCUCUGGAAGAUUUAGCAUGUGAGUAUUAUCUAUCCUGGGGUGAGGGGUGGGGAAUACAGAGAACUGCCAUUCCAGAUCAUGAGCUCCUCCAGGGGAGGGGCCAUGACUUCAAUUUGUGUCUAUCCAGAGGGUCUGGCAGUUAACUGAUGCUUGAAGAAACAGAAGUGUAAGUUUGGGGAUGGAUCGAUGGGAGAUUAAAAGAAAGAGAGGGUGAAGAAAAUAUGAAAACAACUUUGAAAAAGAAAGAGAAAAAGCAAAGGAAUACAGGCGGCUUAUUAUUUACUCUCUCAGAAGCUGUUAAUUGAACUUAUUUUUUAUCCCAACAUAAUGAAAAAAACAGCAAUAAAAGUUGUGUAAGCAGAGACUAUGGAAGACUGGAUAAAAUGACCUUUAACUUUCUAUUCAAUUAUUUGAUCUAUGAUUCUAGGUAUUAUUUCCCCAACAAUACUCUUGAGUGACUAGUGCCAUUUAAUGAAUAUUUAUUAAAUAAAAUCAUAAUUUAAAAUAACAUCAAAGCAGGAACAAACUGAUGUUUUGGCUAAAAAAAGUUUAAAUUACUUUAAUUGGGUCUUCAUAGUUUCAUGAGGAGAUUGGCAAUAGGUUUGCAAAAUUAAACUUGUUUACUCCCCUGUAAGAUGCUCUGUGGUUUAACUGGCACUGAACAGAGCCGAAGUACCUUGUAAUUUUUUUCUUUUGAGUUAAAAGAAAUAACAAAAACUUGCUAGGCUAUUCUAGACAUGAUGCAAAUUUAAAGUAAUUUAAGAUGCUAUUUCUGGAGGGGAAAAAAAUAAGGUUGUGUUUUUUUUUCUUAAGACAAUCCAGACAGCUCUCUCUGCUUUGGAGAGAUCCAAAAGCCUGAAUUGCAGAAACUCCCAAGGCAAAGAGCUUGCUUUGGGAAGGAAAUUUCUGGACAGCAUCCCCCAAGGAGCAAAGACAGACAACGCUACCUUCGAGGUGCAACCUACUAGCUCAAAGUAAAAUAAGAGCAGCGGGUGGAGCCGGGCACGUAGGGG